UCCCCCGCACUCCGCAGGCCACGGCUGCCUUGCGACACCUGCUCGCAGCCCUCUCUCUGACCGAGCGCAGUACCUCCUGCGCUCCCCCAGGCUCUCCAGCGUCCGCACCUCCGAAGCGACCGAGAUACCCAAACUGCUUCUCUGCUGAGAUGUCCUGGACCGCUGCCACACUGAGACUGGCAUCUUCUUACCUCCAAGCUGGGCUCUGACUGGGCCUUGCCUGGUUACCCUGGCAGCACCCUGAUCACGUGACUUCCUCACUUACUUUGUCGUUUUAUUUAAACUGUUCUAACCAUCCUGGAAUGUGAGCUUCGUGGGAGCAGGGAACCUUGUUUUUAGACUUCAUGGUUGUUCCUUACAGGUUGUUCCUGUCACAGUACCUGCCACCUAACAUUGCCCAAGAAACUAAUAAACAAAUGGCCUAGGUUGAACUUCCCACUCUACUCUUCCCCCCAAACCUGUUCAGCCUCUGCUGUUCCCUGACCUGGUAGUGACUCUGUUCUUGCAUGGGCACCAAGGCAAUAAAUUUCUGCUUACAAACUGACUCAUAUUCCUCUCCUUCCUCCUUUCCCUCUCCUCCUCUCUCCUUCUCCUCCCCUUUUUAUGUCUUUCUCCCUCCUUCUUCAUCUGACACCUCUAGCUCUCGCAGUUCCUGGAACCUAUCCCUUCCCCUUUAUCUCACUACUUUGCCGCUAGCUAGAAGCCACCUGUUCACGCAAUCCGCUCCUUUGUCCCUUCACCCUCCAGAGUGUCCAGAGGCAGAUACACCAACCUUUUGUAUUCCGUUUCCCAGAUCUGAUGAAAAGCAAAGCGCCACCUUUCCCAGACCCAGCUACUAGAUGCGCACACACAGGGCGACGGGAGUGGGAGGGCUUGUCUUCACUCUUCAUUUGGACUGUCUUGCUCUAAAGAGUAAGAGACUGAGUUCAGCCCCAGUGGGAUGGCUGUUAACUCCACCACCACCGAGACUCGGGGAAGAGGUGGCUAGAGAAGACUGCCAGGAAAUGCGGUUUUCUGGAUGGGAUGUGGCUAUUGCAGUCACGAACCCACAAGAUCUGCACAAGAGCAAGCUAGCCAAAAUCCUGGCACAGAUAGGGUGAUGUGGGAGUCCCCUCUGUAUGCUGUGAAUAUGUACUAUUACCAUUGGUUAAUAAAGAAGCUU